rnacentral:rRNA from 1 species
GGGGGAUAUUGCACAAUGGAGGAAACUCUGAUGCAGCAACGCCGCGUGAGGGAAGACGGUUUUCGGAUUGUAAACCUCUGUCCUCAGGGACGAUAAUGACGGUACCUGAGGAGGAAGCUCCGGCUAACUACGUGCCAGCAGCCGCGGUAAUACGUAGGGAGCAAGCGUUGUCCGGAUUUACUGGGUGUAAAGGGUGCGUAGGCGGCCCUGCAAGUCAGGCGUGAAAGGCGGAGGCUUAACCUCCGAGCUGCGUUUGAAACUGUGGGGCUUGAGUGGAGCAGAGGCAGGCGGAAUUCCCGGUGUAGCGGUGAAAUGCGUAGAGAUCGGGAGGAACACCAGUGGCGAAGGCGGCCUGCUGGGCUUUAACUGACGCUGAGGCACGAAAGCAUGGGUAGCAAACA